rnacentral:rRNA from 1 species
UACGAAGGGGGCUAGCGUUGCUCGGAAUCACUGGGCGUAAAGGGUGCGUAGGCGGGUCUUUAAGUCAGGGGUGAAAUCCUGGAGCUCAACUCCAGAACUGCCUUUGAUACUGAAGAUCUUGAGUCCGGGAGAGGUGAGUGGAACUGCGAGUGUAGAGGUGAAAUUCGUAGAUAUUCGCAAGAACACCAGUGGCGAAGGCGGCUCACUGGCCCGGUACUGACGCUGAGGCACGAAAGCGUGGGAGCAAACAGGG